AUCACUUCUCAGCCUUUUGGCUAAGAUCAAGUGUAGUAUCUGUUCCUAUCAGUUUUAAGUGCCUUAAUUUCUCUUCCACAGGGGGUUUUACUGGAUACAGAAUUCUUAUUAGCUUUCGUUUUUCAGCACUUUGAAUAUGCCACUACUGCCU
ensembl:snRNA U2 U2 spliceosomal RNA